GGGGGUGGGGAGAGAUGACGCUUGUCCCAUGCGCCUGUAGCACGCAAGCUUCAACUGCCAUCCUUUAACAUCUAACCUGUCUUCGAGGUGUUUAAGUCCGCUCCACUGCAUCCACUUCUGCUCAUGACUGGAGAACUGUUUUAGCAUUAAGAGGAACCCAGACCUUCCGCAGGACAGAACGAGGGCAAAACCAACUGACAGCCAGGCACGGAGCAUGCCGCAGAGCCCGGGGAAGGGGGCCCCUAACUGAGGCCUGAAGUGAGAACCAGCUGAAGAGGCUGCCGCGGCGGCUAGCGGAGAAGCAGCAGAACACUGAAGUUGGCAGCGCCUGCUCUGUGCAGGGCACGGGUGCGCCCGAGCCUUGGUGGCGGGACCUCAUCUUCACACAGCAUUUGAAGGCGCUGUCUCACGUUCUCCCUGCAAAUCCUUUAAAACAUACGCAUUUCAAAGAAGAAACAGGCUCAGAAGGUCUGGCUUAAGAUGACACAGCCUGAAAGCACCAGAGGCAAGAGGCGUGUAGAAGUUUUGCCGCCACACUCCCUCCGCCCUCCCUCUCCCCGUCUCUGUCGCUGCCUUCCCCUCCGUCCUUCCCACUCCUGUCUUCCACCUUCCUCUUCCUCCUCGUCUUCCCUCAGCAACGACUGUCAACCUCGAUUGUGAAAAAACACCGAGGAGCUUCGGGAACAGGCAGCUGUCCAGCCCCACCGCACCCCCACCCCUGUGAUCUGAUCAGGGCAGACGGGCGGGUCUCCGGGCCCGGCUUCUUUGGCUUCUGACCUGCAAAACAAGGAGGCAGCUCUCCUCGGCCCAGAGGGGCACCCCAGGCAUGACAAGAGGGGUCCCAGCCCCUCCCAAGACCGAACAACAGCCGGCUCUUUAACCAAAGGCGGCUCUCACCUUGAUAAAAUUUUUCACCUUACUAAAAUUUUUAAAGAUAAAGUGAGGCUGUCGGACUCGAUGACAUCUAAGAGCCGUCAUUCUGUGCUCUGGCAGAAUUUCUGGUUGAAAUUCAAGCCCAAGAGGUUUCCUGUUGGGCCAGCAUUAUGGGGAGACCCGGUUAACAGCCGAACCCCUGGAAGCCACCCUCCUGCCCUGCAAGGUGGCAAGGAGGAAAGGGGCAGGCAGAGGGGGCCUUGUUCACCCCAGAGCCUGGCUGUGCACACUACGUCCUCCUCUUAUGCAGCCCUGGGGUGUUUUAAUUCUCCCAAGUUCAGAGGUCAAGAGGGUUAAGAUACACAGCACAAGAGGGUCAGCCCUGCAUUUGCAUAGGAGACAGUGGCUGGUUCUUGUGUUGACCUUUGGUUAAAGGCGGGGUGAUACACUGUUUUCCCUCCCCAGCACUAGCCUGCUGAUGGUCAUUCCACAGGGAUGACCCAGCCCUGCUGCGGGGCCCUCCGGUCUAGUCUGAUCUAAUCUGCCCUCGCUUGAUGUGAAGAAAAUACUUAGAAUACUAGGGGGUUAAGUUGUUAGUUUAGAGCUCUCUAGAGGAACAUAACAGAAACCCACGGGAGAUACAAACGCAAGGGGGAAAGAGGCUCAAGAACACAGAACUGAAGAGAACACAGAAGUCACGGGACCAGAAAGCUUCGGAAACUCUGCAUUUCUCCCUUCUUGUUUCUGUGUGUCUGUAAAUCAGGUCCCCUAUUUCCCUAAGUGGUCCGCUAGAAUAGAGCCAAGCCCAGACUCCCCACUCCUCCACCCUGUCUCUGUGGGACGUGUCACAGUCCCCGCCUUGGAGAUGCCCUGGGUGCGGUUCCUGCAGAGAGAAUCAGGUCCAUCCUGGUCAGUAUCUAUGCUCAGAGAGUGUAGCCAUGCUGUAGGCCCAUGCCUGCCAGGGCCAGUGUGUAAGUGCGCGCGUGUGUGCAUGUGUGUGUGUGUGUGUGUGUGUGUGUGUGUGCACAUGCGCCUGUGUGUUCAUGCCAGUAAGAAGAGCCAUUCUAUGGUAAAACAAAAAGUGUCAUUUGCUCACAGGUGACACAACACCCGGCUACUAGGACGUAACACCCAGCAGUUCACUUCCCCUUUCGAUUCUUAUUUUCCAGAGUUAAACAAAUAAGCCACUGGUAAUAAUUGCUAAAUGAAAUUUAUAGCAGUCCACUGGAUCAGACUGGACGGGUCAAAUGGACAAUAAAAUGGAGUCACUUGUGCUCAGGCCCCACAACACCAUGCCAAAACAGAGUUGCUCAUCUGACU